rnacentral:piRNA from 1 species
UUCUAACUGCUCUCUGGGAGCUACUGAGA